rnacentral:rRNA from 1 species
AGUGAACGCUGGCGGUAGGCCUAACACAUGCAAGUCGAACGGCAGCACAGUAAGAGCUUGCUCUUACGGGUGGCGAGUGGCGGACGGGUGAGGAAUACAUCGGAAUCUACUUUUUCGUGGGGGAUAACGUAGGGAAACUUACGCUAAUACCGCAUACGACCUACGGGUGAAAGCAGGGGAUCUUCGGACCUUGCGCGAUUGAAUGAGCCGAUGUCGGAUUAGCUAGUUGGCGGGGGAAAGGCCCACCAAGUCGACGAUCCGUAGCUGGUCUGAGAGGAUGACCAGCCACACUGGAACUGAGACACGGUCCUGACUCCUACGGGAGGCCGCAGUGGGGAAUGUUGGACAAUGGGCGCAAGCCUGAUCCAGCCAUACCGAGUGGGUGAAGAAGGCCUUCGGGUUGUAAAGCCCUUUUGUUGGGAAAGAAAAGCAGCAGGUUAAUACCCCGCUGUUCUGACGGUACCCAAAGAAUAAGCACCGGCUAACUUCGUG